GAUGAACGCUGGCGGCGUGCUUAACACAUGCAAGUCGAACGGAGUUUAUAAGCGGAAGUCUUCGGAUGGAAGCUUAUGAACUUAGUGGCGGACGGGUGAGUAACGCGUGGGUAACCUGCCUUACACAGGGGGAUAACAGCCGGAAACGGCUGCUAAUACCGCAUAAGCGCACAGUGCUGCAUGGUACCGUGUGAAAAGAUUUUAUCGGUGUAAGAUGGACCCGCGUCUGAUUAGCUAGUUGGUGGGGUAACGGCCUACCAAGGCAACGAUCAGUAGCCGGCUUGAGAGAGUGAACGGCCACAUUGGGACUGAGACACGGCCCAAACUCCUACGGGAGGCAGCAGUGGGGAAUAUUGCACAAUGGGGGAAACCCUGAUGCAGCGACGCCGCGUGAGUGAAGAAGUAUUUCGGUAUGUAAAGCUCUAUCAGCAGGGACGAAGUGGAGUUCGUGAGAACUCCUUUGACGGUACCUGACUAAGAAGCCCCGGCUAACUACGUG
rnacentral:rRNA from 1 species